rnacentral:rRNA from 1 species
GACGAACCGUCCAAACGUUAUUCGGAAUUACUGGGCUUAAAGGGUGCGUAGGCUGCUCUGUAAGUCGGGUGUGAAAUCCCUCAGCUCAACUGAGGAAUUGCGCUUGAUACUGCAGUGCUCGAGGGAGAUAGGGGUUAGCGGAACUGAUGGUGGAGCGGUGAAAUGCGUUGAUAUCAUCAGGAACACCGGUGGCGAAAGCGGCUAACUGGAUCGCUUCUGACGCUGAGGCACGAAAGCGAGGGGAGCGAACGGG